AGCGAACGUUUGUGGCGGGCUUAACACAUGCAAGUCGAACGGGCUGUUCCUUCGGGGGCGAGUCAGUGGCGCACGGGUGCGGUAACACGUAGGUAAUCAACCCUCUGGUUGGGGAUAACACUUCGAAAGGAGUGCUAAUACCCGGUAUGGCGCAGCGGUCUUCGGAUCGCGGCGAGAAAGACCCGCAAGGGUUGCCAGAGGACGAGCCUGCGGCCCAUCAGCUAGUUGGCGAGGUAACGGACUCACCAAGGCGAAGACGGGUAGCUGGUCUGAGAGGAUGAUCAGCCACACUGGAACUGAGACACGGUCCAGACU
rnacentral:rRNA from 1 species